GGAGAGGUCGCAUAGUGGCUUAGUGCGCACGCUUGGAAAGCGUGUAAAGUGAAAGCUUUCGGGGGUUCGAAUCCCCCUCUCUCCGCCA
rnacentral:tRNA from 1 species